rnacentral:rRNA from 1 species
UACGUAGGGUGCAAGCGUUGUCCGGAAUUAUUGGGCGUAAAGAGCUCGUAGGCGGUUUGUCGCGUCUGCUGUGAAAACGCGAGGCUCAACCUCGCGCCUGCAGUGGGUACGGGCAGACUAGAGUGCGGUAGGGGAGAUUGGAAUUCCUGGUGUAGCGGCGAAAUGCGCAGAUAUCAGGAGGAACACCGGUGGCGAAGGCGGGACUCUGGGCCGAUACUGACGCUGAGGAGCGAAAGCGUGGGGAGCGAACAGG